rnacentral:rRNA from 1 species
CCCUUAGAUGUUCUGGGCGGCCCGCGCACUACAAUGGCGCUUUCAGCGAGUUCCUAUGUUGAAUUUUCCUUGGUAUUCUUGGAAGCGGCGUCUUGACUUGGGAUAGAUCCUUGUAAUUGUUGGUUUUGAACGAGGAAUUCCUUGUAAUCGCGGUUGAUCAGCUCGCGUUGAAUACGUCCCUGCCCUUUGUACACACCGCCCGUCGCUCCUACCGAUGAAUCGUCCGGUGAAGUUCACAGAGUGGCGGUUCGUGGAGUUGCUCGCGAAGUGAACUGGACCUCACGAUUUAGAGGAAGGAGAAGUCGUAACA